GAGAUGGAUUGGUGCCUUCGGGAACUCUGACACAGGUGCUGCAUGGCUGUCGUCGAGCUCGUGUCGUGAGAUGUUGGGUUAAGUCCCGUAACGAGCGCAACCCUUGUCCUUAGUUACCAGCACGUUAUGGUGGCACUCUAAGGAGACUGCCGGUGACAAACCGGAGGAAGGUGGGGAGUGACGUCAAGUCAUCAUGGCCCUUACGGCCUGGGCUACACACGUGCUACAAUGGUCGGUACAAAGGGUUGCCAAGCCGCGAGGUGGAGCUAAUCCCAUAAAACCGAUCGUAGUCCGGAUCGCAGUCUGCAACUCGACUGCGUGAAGUCGGAAUCGCUAGUAAUCGUGAAUCAGAAUGUCACGGUGAAUACGUUCCCGGGCCUU
rnacentral:rRNA from 1 species